rnacentral:lncRNA from 1 species
AUGUGUCUGAGCACUUUGUCUUUUCAUUCAUGUCUCACUACAGGAAAUGUGGAUUUGGAAGGAGAGGAACAGAGUCAUGAAAAGGGAACUUAUAUGAUAUGUUUAAAGGAACGACAAGACAGUAAAUACAAAGCAAUAAUCCGGGACUCAGUCUGGAGGAUGAAGAAUUCUAUCCUAAGAGAGCUACAGGAACUGUAUGCAGAAUCAACCAGUGUAUUGCUGAACACUGAGGUUAAAAUGCUCCUGAAUUUUCCACACACCGUUCUUCUACUUCCAUCUUCUGAAGGUCACAUUAAUGCUACAGCUUUCCAUUAA